ensembl:snoRNA
UUAGAAGAAUUAAUAUUGUUAAAAUAACCAUACUACUGACAUUAUACCGCUGAAAGAAAAUCUGUGUUGAUCGUUUUUGAUUUUGCCUUUAUGGGGGUAAACUCAUGACAGAUUGACAUAAAAAAAU